AUACUUACCUGGCAGGGGAGACACGAUGGUCAGGCAGGUGGUUUUCUCGGGUUGAGGGCUUGUCCAUUGCACUGCAGAUGUGCUGACCCCUGCGAUUUCCCAAAAGCGGGUAACUCGACUGCAUAUAAUUUUGUGGUCGUGGGGACUGUGUUUGCGCUCUCCCCUG
rnacentral:snRNA from 1 species